GUCUCUGUGGCGCAAUCAGUUAGCGCGUUAGGCUGUGAACUGAAAGGUUGGUGGUCGAAGCCCACCCAGGGAUG
rnacentral:tRNA from 1 species